GACAGAGGUGCCAAGCGUUAGGCGGAAUCACUGGGCUUAAAGCGUGUGUAGGCGGAUUUGUAAGUACCUUGUGAAAUCCCACGGCUCAACCGUGGAACUGCUUGGUAUACUGCGAAUCUUGAGCAGUUUAGGGGCGACCGGAACAAAUGGUGGAGCGGUGAAAUGCGUAGAUAUCAUUUGGAACGCCAAUGGUGAAAACAGGUCGCUGGGAACUUGCUGACGCUGAGACACGAAAGCCAGGGGAGCGAACGGG
rnacentral:rRNA from 1 species